UACGAAGGGGGCUAGCGUUGCUCGGAAUUACUGGGCGUAAAGCGCACGUAGGCGGUCUUUUAAGUCGGGGGUGAAAUCCCGGAGCUCAACUCCAGAACUGCCUUCGAUACUGGAAGACUUGAGUCCGGGAGAGGUGAGUGGAACUGCGAGUGUAGAGGUGAAAUUCGUAGAUAUUCGCAAGAACACCAGUGGCGAAGGCGGCUCACUGGCCCGGUACUGACGCUGAGGUGCGAAAGCGUGGGGAGCAAACAGG
rnacentral:rRNA from 1 species